GGAACAGACUCGAAAGGAGAGAGUGCCCUUCCCGUGGGUGCAGUCAGAAACAAUGUCUCCCAGCUCUUAGCAGAGCAGGUUUUCUAGAGUCAUAGUUCUAAUCGUUGUGGACUGACCUGUGUCCCAAACACUCAAGCUGAAAGUCUAGCCCCUGGUACCUUGGUAAGUGGCUGUAUUUGGAGACAGGGCUUUUGAAGAAUUAAUUAAAUCAGUGUGAGGAGAUUGUGGCGAGCUCUAAUCCAAUUUGGCUUUUGCCUUUAUAAAGAAAGGUCAUUUGAACACAGAGAGACACCAGGGAUUGUUAUGAGAAGAUGAAAGUCCCUAGGAAGACACAAGGAGAAGACAAUUGUAUACAAGCCAACGGGGAAAGAGCGGACGAGGAACCAGACCUUCCGCACCUUGAUAUUGGACCCACUGCUUCUGGAGCUGUGAGAGAGAACACUCUCUUGAAUAUCUAGUAACCUGGCAAGAGAAAACUCUGGACCAUGGCUAGGACUUGGUACCUGUCAGUCUUCCUGGAGGACGCUCUGGCUGAGCCUUUCACUGCAGGAACAUGGAGCCUAUUUCUGAGGUAGUCAGAGGCCUGGGGAACACAACUCUUCAUCUCUUGCAUGGAGGAGGGAACCCUGAUGGCCAGCCGUCUGGGUCUGAGGUGAAGAGUUUGGGCUCUUGACAUGGAGUGUGGAUAUGUUCACCCAGUCCUCUUUGGGGUGUAAAUAAGCCACCUUUCAUGGGGCUAUGUGUUCAGGACCUUGUGUCGUCUGCUCUCUAGAGAUCAAAUCAUUAGCUUUUUGAAAAGGCUAGGGGAGUUUUUUUCCCCCCUGGGCUGGGUUAGGGAGGGGACCUGGAUACUUACUGAAGACCUCUGUGUGGACUCUCAGCCCACCGCCUUCUUGCAGUGGCUU
rnacentral:lncRNA from 1 species